UACGUAGGGUGCGAGCGUUAAUCGGAAUUACUGGGCGUAAAGGGUGCGCAGGCGGUUAUAUAAGACAGAUGUGAAAUCCCCGGGCUCAACCUGGGAACUGCGUUUGUGACUGUAUGACUAGAGUACGGUAGAGAGGGGUGGAAUUCCUGGUGUAGCAGUGAAAUGCGUAGAUAUCAGGAGGAACAUCGAUGGCGAAGGCAGCCCCUUGGACCUGUACUGACGCUCAUGCACGAAAGCGUGGGGAGCAAACAG
rnacentral:rRNA from 1 species